GACGAAGGGGGCUAGCGUUGUUCGGAAUUACUGGGCGUAAAGCGCGUGUAGGCGGUUAUCCAAGUUAGUUGUGAAAUCUCCCGGCUCAACCGGGAAACUGCAGCUAAUACUGCGUGGCUAGAGUGGCAGAGAGGAAAGUGGAAUUCCCGGUGUAGUAGUGAAAUGCGUAGAUAUCGGGAGGAACACCAGCGGCGAAGGCGGCUUGCUGGGCCUUACCUGACGCUGAGGAGCGAAAGCGUGGGGAGCGAACAGG
rnacentral:rRNA from 1 species